rnacentral:piRNA from 1 species
UGAAGGACAGCCUUCUAGGAAGCUUUGGG